ACGGAUCCAUCUUCGGUCGGCGGCGAGCUAUGGUGACGUACAUGUGGUGCUGAUGGAUGCAGUGUACAAGGGCGCCGACACCAUGGAGCUGGCCACCGGCUUCUGCAUGCCGCGCUGUAUCAUCAGUAACAACUAAUGGUCAGUGGUGUACCAAACUUCUUUACUGAAAAAAGGGUAAUGUAUCAGUGCGUUGAAAAACAUGACAUGAAGGGCCAUGCAUAAGAGUCUACAUGAUCAGAUCUAUUUAUAUUUUUCAUCCAUCGAGUAGUGCUCUUUCUGCACCAAACUUCUUUACUGAAUUUCAGUUAUCCUUUCUUUUCUCACUGCAAGCAGUCCUGGUGGCAAAAUCUUGCUGCUCGGCUAAAAAAACUCGUUGCUGGAUGUGCGGAUUGAAGUAUUCCAGAAAAGGCUGCAUUGCCUUUAACUAUGGGACAGGUACGUGAGUAUCUGCAUCUACUCAUCAUUAACACUGCAUAGUGG
rnacentral:lncRNA from 1 species